ACGCUCGACACCUACGAGAGGCAGCAGUCGGGAAUAUUGCGCAAUGGAGGAAACUCUGACGCAGUGACGCCGCGUAUAGGAAGAAGGUUUUCGGAUUGUAAACUAUUGUCGUUAGGGAAGAGAAAGGACAGUACCUAAGGAGGAAGCUCCGGCUAACUACGUGCCAGUAGCCGCGGUAAUCUGAGCGGGCUGGCAAGGC
rnacentral:rRNA from 1 species